rnacentral:misc_RNA from 1 species
AACGCACAUUGCGCCCGCCAGUACUCUGGCGGGCAUGCCUGUCCGAGCGUCAUUUCAACCCUCGAGCCCCCCCGGGGGGUCGGCGUUGGGGAUCGGCCCUUCACCGGGCCGGCCCCGAAAUGCAGUGGCGGUCUCGCCGCGGCCUCCCCUGCGCAGUAGCUUGCACACUCGCACCGGGAGCGCGGCGCGCCCACAGCCGUGAAAACACCCCCAAGCCUCUGGCAUGUUGACCUCGGAUCAGGUAGGAAUACCCGCUGAACUUAA